GCGACCUCAGGUCAGGCGGGGCCACCCGCUNANUUUUAAAAAAUAAA
rnacentral:rRNA from 1 species